AACGAACGCUGGCGGCAGGCUUAACACAUGCAAGUCGAACGGUUGUAGCAAUACAGCAGUGGCAGACGGGUGAGUAACACGUGGGAACCUUCCUAGGGGUACGGAACAACUCAGGGAAACUUGAGCUAAUACCGUAUACGUCCGUGAGGAGAAAGAUUUAUCGCCCUUAGACGGGCCCGCGUAGGAUUAGGUAGUUGGUGGGUAAUGGCCUACCAAGCCUACGAUCCUUAGCUGAUCUGAGAGGAUGAUCAGCCACACUGGGACUGAGACACGGCCCAGACUCCUACGGGAGGCAGCAGUGGGGAAUCUUGGACAAUGGGCGCAAGCCUGAUCCAGCCAUGCCGCGUGAGUG
rnacentral:rRNA from 1 species